UGCUAUGUCUCGUUUCUUAUCCCUACCUCAUCUGCUUUCAUUUUCUCCAAUCAUUUUCUCUUUCUUGCCUCUGAUGAAAAGUCAAUAGUUCCAUGGUUCACAUCAAUUUCUAUGUCAACCGAACCCUUUGAUGGCGAUGUACAAAGUCAUUUGGCAUUCUCCUCGGUGGUGAUAUCUAGGAACCUUUUGGUGGCAAGGACUUGAGCAAGGACAAUGGCAACAGCAAAAGAUGAUCAGUGUGGGAGGGGGAGGAAAUUACCAAGGAUUUCUUGAUCAAACGGUUCAAGUUGAGCUUUCAGAUUUGCACGGUAGAUCGGAAAGUGGAUUUGGAGCAUUGGAUUGGCAAAUGAGUGGAGAUUAAGGGUUAUUUGAUCCCUAAUACUGUUGGUCAGAAAUAUUGGAGUCAGAGUCAUUGGAUUGAUCAAUAUUAUCCCAUUAAUUACAAAUUAUUUAUUGUCAAGAUCAGACAUAUUGGACUCAGAGUUUAUCUCUGUAAAUUAUAUCUCAU